rnacentral:ncRNA from 1 species
AAGCCAUGCAUGUGCAAGUAUGAACCAAUUUGAACUGUGAAACUGCGAAUGGCUCAUUAAAUCAGUUAUAGUUUGUUUGAUGGUACGUGCUACUCGGAUAACCGUAGUAAUUCUAGAGCUAAUACCGCCAACAAACCCCGACUUUUGGGAGGGGCGCAUUUAUUAGAUAAAAGGCUGACGUGGGCUCUGCUCGCUGAUCCGAUGAUUCAUGAUAACUCGACGGAUCGCAUGGCCUUUGUGCCGGCGACGC